AAAUUGAAGAGUUUGAUCAUGGCUCAGAUUGAACGCUGGCGGCAGGCCUAACACAUGCAAGUCGAACGGUAACAGGAAGCAGCUUGCUGCUUCGCUGACGAGUGGCGGACGGGUGAGUAAUGUCUGGGAAACUGCCUGAUGGAGGGGGAUAACUACUGGAAACGGUGGCUAAUACCGCAUAACGUCGCAAGACCAAAGAGGGGGACCUUCGGGCCUCUUGCCAUCAGAUGUGCCCAGAUGGGAUUAGCUUGUUGGUGAGGUAACGGCUCACCAAGGCGACGAUCCCUAGCUGGUCUGAGAGGAUGACCAGCCACACUGGAACUGAGACACGGUCCAGACUCCUACGGGAGGCAGCAGUGGGGAAUAUUGCACAAUGGGCGCAAGCCUGAUGCAGCCAUGCCGCGUGUAUGAAGAAGGCCUUCGGGUUGUAAAGUACUUUCAGCGGGGAGGAAGGUGUUGUGGUUAAUAACCGCAGCAAUUGACGUUACUCGCAGAAGAAGCACCGGCUAACUCCGUGCCAGCAGCCGCGGUAAUACGGAGGGUGCAAGCGUUAAUCGGAAUUACUGGGCGUAAAGCGCACGCAGGCGGUCUGUCAAGUCGGAUGUGAAAUCCCCGGGCUCAACCUGGGAACUGCAUUCGAAACUGGCAGGCUUGAGUCUUGUAGAGGGGGGUAAAUUCCAGGUGUAGCGGUGAAAUGCGUAGAGAUCUGGAGGAAUACCGGUGGCGAAGGCGGCCCCCUGGACAAAGACUGACGCUCAGGUGCGAAAGCGUGGGGAGCAAACAGGAUUAGAUACCCUGGUAGUCCACGCCGUAAACGAUGUCUACUUGGAGGUUGUGCCCUUGAGGCGUGGCUUCCGGAGCUAACGCGUUAAGUAGACCGCCUGGGGAGUACGGCCGCAAGGUUAAAACUCAAAUGAAUUGACGGGGGCCCGCACAAGCGGUGGAGCAUGUGGUUUAAUUCGAUGCAACGCGAAGAACCUUACCUGGUCUUGACAUCCACAGAAGAAUCCAGAGAUGGAUUUGUGCCUUCGGGAACUGUGAGACAGGUGCUGCAUGGCUGUCGUCAGCUCGUGUUGUGAAAUGUUGGGUUAAGUCCCGCAACGAGCGCAACCCUUAUCCUUUGUUGCCAGCGGUCCGGCCGGGAACUCAAAGGAGACUGCCAGUGAUAAACUGGAGGAAGGUGGGGAUGACGUCAAGUCAUCAUGGCCCUUACGACCAGGGCUACACACGUGCUACAAUGGCGCAUACAAAGAGAAGCGACCUCGCGAGAGCAAGCGGACCUCAUAAAGUGCGUCGUAGUCCGGAUUGGAGUCUGCAACUCGACUCCAUGAAGUCGGAAUCGCUAGUAAUCGUGGAUCAGAAUGCCACGGUGAAUACGUUCCCGGGCCUUGUACACACCGCCCGUCACACCAUGGGAGUGGGUUGCAAAAGAAGUAGGUAGCUUAACCUUCGGGAGGGCGCUUACCACUUUGUGAUUCAUGACUGGGGUGAAGUCGUAACAAGGUAACCGUAGGGGAACCUGCGGUUGGAUCACCUCCUUA
rnacentral:rRNA from 1 species